rnacentral:rRNA from 1 species
AGAGUUUGAUCAUGGCUCAGGAUGAACGCUAGCGGCAGGCUUAACACAUGCAAGUCGAGGGGCAGCGCGGUGUAGCAAUACACUGGCGGCGACCGGCGAAAGGGUGAGUAACGCGUGAGCAACAUGCCCGGUACUGGGGGAUAGUCGAUGGAAACGUCGCGUAAUACCCCGUAACAACAGUUUUCGCAUGGGAAUUGUUUGAGAGAUUCAUUGAUACCGGAUUGGCUCGCGUACCAUUAGCUAGUUGGCGGGGUAACGGCCCACCAAGGCGACGAUGGUUAGGGGUUCUGAGAGGAAGGUCCCCCACAUUGGAACUGAGACACGGUCCAGACUCCUACGGGAGGCAGCAGUGAGGAAUAUUGGACAAUGGCCGGGAGGCUGAUCCAGCCAUGCCGCGUGCGGGAGGACGGCCCUAUGGGUUGUAAACCGCUUUUGUUGGGGAGCAAUAAGGUCUACGUGUAGACUGAUGAGAGUACCCAGCGAAUAAGCAUCGGCUAACUCCGUGCCAGCAGCCGCGGUAAUACGGAGGAUGCGAGCGUUAUCCGGAUUUAUUGGGUUUAAAGGGUGCGUAGGCGGAUGCUUAAGCGUGAGGUGAAAUGCCCGGGCUCAACCUGGGAACUGCCUCGCGAACUGGGCAUCUUGAAUGUCCGUGCCGUGGGAGGAAUGUGUGGUGCUAGCGGUGAAAUGCAUAGAGAUCACACAGAACACCGAUUGCGAAGGCAUCUCACGAACGGAUGAUUGACGCUGAGGCACGAAAGCGUGGGGAUCAAACAGGAUUAGCAUACCCUGGUAGCUCCACGCAGUAAACGAUGAUAACUAACCGCUGGUCCUUCGGGUUCAGUGGCCCCAAGCCGAAAGCGCAUAAGUUAUCCACCUGGGGAGUACGACCGCAAGGUUGAAACUCAAAGGAAUUGACGGGGGCCCCGCACAAGCGGAGGAACAUGUGGUUUAAUUCGAUGAUACGCGAGGAACCUUACCCGGGCUCGAACGGCAGAGGAACAAUCCAGAGAUGGUGCGGCCCUUCGGGCUUCUGUCGAGGUGCUGCAUGGUUGUCGUCAGCUCGUGCCGUGAGGUGUCGGGCUUAAGUGCCAUAACGAGCGCAACCCUUGGCCGCUAGUUACCAGCAUGUAGUGAUGGGGACUCUAGCGGGACUGCCACCGCAAGGUUGAGAGGAAGGGGGGGAUUGACGUCAAAUCAGCACGGCCCUUACGUGCCGGGGCGACACACGUGUUACAAUGGGAGUUACAGAGGGGUGCUACCUGGUGACAGGAUGGGAAUCUCGAAAAGCUCUCUCAGUCCGGAUCGGAGUCUGCAACCCGACUCCGUGAAGCUGGAUUCGCUAGUAAUCGCGCAUCAGCCAUGGCGCGGUGAAUACGUUCCCGGGCCUUGUACACACCGCCCGUCAAGCCAUGAAAGUCUGGGGCGCCUGAAGUUCGUGACCGCGAGGAGCGACCUAGGGCGAAACAGGUAAUUGGGGCUAAGUCGUAACAAGGUAGCCGUACCGGAAGGUGUGGCUGGAACACCUCCUU